CUGAGCCUCCCGCCUCGUGAUCGUCUUCUCACCCUCACGCAGGCGGGCAGCGGGCGGAAGCCCCCGCGAGGACGUGACUCGCGGGGGCUUCCC
rnacentral:ncRNA from 1 species